GAUGAACGCUAGCGGGAGGCUUAACACAUGCAAGUCGAGGGGCAGCACGGAGUAGCAAUAUUCUGGUGGCGACCGGCGCACGGGUGAGUAACACGUAUGCAACCUACCCUGUACAGGGGGAUAACCCGGAGAAAUUCGGACUAAUAUCCCAUAAUGAUAUCGGAAGGCAUCUUUUGAUAUUUAAAGCUCAGGCGGUACGGGAUGGGCAUGCGGAACAUUAGCUAGUUGGCAGGGUAACGGCCUACCAAGGCUGCGAUGUUUAGGGGACCUGAGAGGGUUAUCCCCCACACUGGUACUGAGACACGGACCAGACUCCUACGGGAGGCAGCAGUGAGGAAUAUUGGUCAAUGGACGCAAGUCUGAACCAGCCAUGCCGCGUGCAGGAUGACGGCCCUAUGGGUUGUAAACUGCUUUUCCACGGGAAGAACCCUCCGACGUGUCGGAGACUGACGGUACCGUGGGAAUAAGCAUCGGCUAGCUCCGUGCCAGCAGCCGCGGU
rnacentral:rRNA from 1 species